rnacentral:rRNA from 1 species
UCACAAUUAACGGUGGAUCACUUGGGUCGUAGAUCGAUGAAGAACGCAGCUAGACUGCGAUAGGCGGCGCGAACUGCAGAAUUAACUGAGCGCCUGGUAUUCGAACGCAUAUUGCGGCUUU